AGUGAACGCUGGCGGUAGGCCUAACACAUGCAAGUCGAACGGCAGCACAGUAAGAGCUUGCUCUUACGGGUGGCGAGUGGCGGACGGGUGAGGAAUACAUCGGAAUCUACUUUUUCGUGGGGGAUAACGUAGGGAAACUUACGCUAAUACCGCAUACGACCUACGGGUGAAAGCAGGGGAUCUUCGGACCUUGCGCGAUUGAAUGAGCCGAUGUCGGAUUAGCUAGUUGGCGGGGUAAAGGCCCACCAAGGCGACGAUCCGUAGCUGGUCUGAGAGGAUGAUCAGCCACACUGGAACUGAGACACGGUCCAGACGCCUACGGGAGGCAGCAGUGGGGAAUAUUGGACAAUGGGCGCAAGCCUGAUCCAGCCAUACCGCGUGGGUGAAGAAGGCCUUCGGGUUGUAAAGCCCUUUUGUUGGGAAAGAAAAGCAGCAGGUUAAUACCCCGCUGUUCUGACGGUACCCAAAGAAAAAGCACCGGCUAACUUCGUG
rnacentral:rRNA from 1 species